UUGGAGCUCUNAGACCGGNAAAAAUGGAAAGCGUUCAGCGACUCCCCUCCGAUAGCCUGGAGGAACGUGUAACGGNUUGGGUCGCGGUGUACCCCGGUUCGAGACUUGUACUCGAGCCGGCCGGAGCCGCGGCUAACGUGGUAUUGGCACUCCCGUCUCGACCCAGCCUACAAAAAUCCAGGAUACGGAAUCGAGUCGUUUUGCUGGUUGCCGAAUGGCAGGGAAGUGAGUCCUAUUUUUUUUUUUUGCCCCCCAAANGCNNCCCNNGCUG
rnacentral:misc_RNA from 1 species